ensembl:snoRNA
UGGACCAAUGAUGAUGACUGGUGGAGUAUGAGUAAUGGAUGAUAAAUAGCAUGUGUCUGGAACUCUGAGGUCCAA